AUUCCAGCUCCAAUAGCGUAUAUUAAAGUUGUUGCGGUUAAAAAGCUCGUAGUUGGAUUUCUGCCGAGGACGACCGGUCCGCCCUCUGGGUGAGUAUCUGGUUCGGCCUGGGCAUCUUCUUGGAGAACGUAUCUGCACUUGACUGUGUGGUGCGGUAUCCAGGACUUUUACUUUGAGGAAAUUAGAGUGUUUCAAGCAGGCACACGCCUUGAAUACAUUAGCAUGGAAUAAUAAGAUAGGACCUUGGUUCUAUUUUGUUGGUUUCUAGAGCUGCAGUAAUGAUUAAUAGGGAUAAUUGGGGGCAUUCGUAUUAUUACGUCAGAGGUGAAAUUCUUGGAUUGUAAUACGACGAACUACUGCGAAAGCAUUUGCCAAGGAUGUUUUCAUUG
rnacentral:rRNA from 1 species